UACGGGGGGGGCAAGCGUUGUUCGGAAUUACUGGGCGUAAAGGGCUCGUAGGCGGCCAACUAAGUCAUACGUGAAAUCCCUCGGCUUAACCGGGGAACUGCGUCUGAUACUGGAUGGCUUGAGUUCGGGAGAGGGAUGCGGAAUUCCCCAAGUAGAGGUGAAAUUCGUAGAUAUGGGGAGGAACACCGGUGGCGAAGGCGGCCACCUGGACGGUAACUGACGCUGAGACGCGAAAGCGUGGGGAGCGAACAGG
rnacentral:rRNA from 1 species